CAUCAAGCCCAGACAGUACUUCGCCGAGGCUUAAAGGGGUUAACGUGUUACCGAAGAGGAGCUCUCUGUUGGGGAAGCCACAGAAAGGGAGGUGACAGACUUGGAAUCUCAGUGUCACCAAGAAGCAGAUCUGUGACUAAGGGUUGAGGGUCAGAC
rnacentral:lncRNA from 1 species